rnacentral:rRNA from 1 species
AGCAGCCGCGGUAAUUCCAGCUCCAAUAGCGUAUAUUAAAGUUGCUGCAGUUAAAAAGCUCGUAGUUGAAUUUCGGGAUCAAUAUGUUGGUCGUGCCUCGGUACGUACUAGCUUAUUGGUUUCUCCCUUCUGACGAACCAUGAUGUCAUUUAUUUGGUGUUAUGGGAAAUCAGGACUGUUACUUUGAAAAAAUUAGAGUGUUUAAAGCAGGCUCACGCUUGAAUACAUUAGCAUGGAAUAAUGAAAUAGGACGUUUGAUUCUAUUUUGUUGGUUUCUAGGAUCGACGUAAUGAUUAAUAGGGAUAGUUGGGGGCAUUAGUAUUCAAUUGUCAGAGGUGAAAUUCUUGGAUUUAUUGAAGACUAACUACUGCGAAAGCAUUUGCCAAGGAUGUUUUCAUUAAUCAAGAACGAAAGUUAGGGGAUCGAAGACGAUCAGAUACCGUCGUAGUCUUAACCAUAAACUAUGCGACUAGGGAU